GAUUAAGUUAUUAAGGGCGCACGGUGGAUGCCUUGGCACUAGAAGCCGAUGAAGGACGUUACUAACGACGAUAUGCUUUGGGGAGCUGUAAGUAAGCUUUGAUCCAGAGAUUUCCGAAUGGGGAAACCCAGCAUGAGUUAUGUCAUGUUAUCGAUAUGUGAAUACAUAGCAUAUCAGAAGGCACACCCGGAGAACUGAAACAUCUUAGUACCCGGAGGAAGAGAAAGAAAAUUCGAUUCCCUUAGUAGCGGCGAGCGAAACGGGAAGAGCCCAAACCAACAAGCUUGCUUGUUGGGGUUGUAGGACACUCUAUACGGAGUUACAAAGGACGACAUUAGACGAAUCAUCUGGAAAGAUGAAUCAAAGAAGGUAAUAAUCCUGUAGUCGAAAAUGUUGUCUCUCUUGAGUGGAUCCUGAGUACGACGGAGCACGUGAAAUUCCGUCGGAAUCUGGGAGGACCAUCUCCUAAGGCUAAAUACUCUCUAGUGACCGAUAGUGAACCAGUACCGUGAGGGAAAGGUGAAAAGCACCCCGGAAGGGGAGUGAAAUAGAACCUGAAACCGUGUGCUUACAAGUAGUCAGAGCCCGUUAAUGGGUGAUGGCGUGCCUUUUGUAGAAUGAACCGGCGAGUUACGAUUUGAUGCAAGGUUAAGCAGUAAAUGUGGAGCCGUAGCGAAAGCGAGUCUGAAUAGGGCGUUUAGUAUUUGGUCGUAGACCCGAAACCAGGUGAUCUACCCUUGGUCAGGUUGAAGUUCAGGUAACACUGAAUGGAGGACCGAACCGACUUACGUUGAAAAGUGAGCGGAUGAACUGAGGGUAGCGGAGAAAUUCCAAUCGAACCUGGAGAUAGCUGGUUCUCUCCGAAAUAGCUUUAGGGCUAGCCUCAAGUGAUGAUUAUUGGAGGUAGAGCACUGUUUGGACGAGGGGCCCCUCUCGGGUUACCGAAUUCAGACAAACUCCGAAUGCCAAUUAAUUUAACUUGGGAGUCAGAACAUGGGUGAUAAGGUCCGUGUUCGAAAGGGAAACAGCCCAGACCACCAGCUAAGGUCCCAAAAUAUAUGUUAAGUGGAAAAGGAUGUGGCGUUGCCCAGACAACUAGGAUGUUGGCUUAGAAGCAGCCAUCAUUUAAAGAGUGCGUAAUAGCUCACUAGUCGAGUGACACUGCGCCGAAAAUGUACCGGGGCUAAACAUAUUACCGAAGCUGUGGAUUGUCCUUUGGACAAUGGUAGGAGAGCGUUCUAAGGGCGUUGAAGCAUGAUCGUAAGGACAUGUGGAGCGCUUAGAAGUGAGAAUGCCGGUGUGAGUAGCGAAAGACGGGUGAGAAUCCCGUCCACCGAUUGACUAAGGUUUCCAGAGGAAGGCUCGUCCGCUCUGGGUUAGUCGGGUCCUAAGCUGAGGCCGACAGGCGUAGGCGAUGGAUAACAGGUUGAUAUUCCUGUACCACCUAUAAUCGUUUUAAUCGAUGGGGGGACGCAGUAGGAUAGGCGAAGCGUGCGAUUGGAUUGCACGUCUAAGCAGUAAGGCUGAGUAUUAGGCAAAUCCGGUACUCGUUAAGGCUGAGCUGUGAUGGGGAGAAGACAUUGUGUCUUCGAGUCGUUGAUUUCACACUGCCAAGAAAAGCCUCUAGAUAGAAAAUAGGUGCCCGUACCGCAAACCGACACAGGUAGUCAAGAUGAGAAUUCUAAGGUGAGCGAGCGAACUCUCGUUAAGGAACUCGGCAAAAUGACCCCGUAACUUCGGGAGAAGGGGUGCUCUUUAGGGUUAACGCCCAGAAGAGCCGCAGUGAAUAGGCCCAAGCGACUGUUUAUCAAAAACACAGGUCUCUGCUAAACCGUAAGGUGAUGUAUAGGGGCUGACGCCUGCCCGGUGCUGGAAGGUUAAGAGGAGUGGUUAGCUUCUGCGAAGCUACGAAUCGAAGCCCCAGUAAACGGCGGCCGUAACUAUAACGGUCCUAAGGUAGCGAAAUUCCUUGUCGGGUAAGUUCCGACCCGCACGAAAGGCGUAACGAUUUGGGCACUGUCUCAACGAGAGACUCGGUGAAAUCAUAGUACCUGUGAAGAUGCAGGUUACCCGCGACAGGACGGAAAGACCCCGUGGAGCUUUACUGUAGCCUGAUAUUGAAAUUCGGCACAGCUUGUACAGGAUAGGUAGGAGCCUUUGAAACGUGAGCGCUAGCUUACGUGGAGGCGCUGGUGGGAUACUACCCUAGCUGUGUUGGCUUUCUAACCCGCACCACUUAUCGUGGUGGGAGACAGUGUCAGGCGGGCAGUUUGACUGGGGCGGUCGCCUCCUAAAAGGUAACGGAGGCGCUCAAAGGUUCCCUCAGAAUGGUUGGAAAUCAUUCAUAGAGUGUAAAGGCAUAAGGGAGCUUGACUGCGAGACCUACAAGUCGAGCAGGGUCGAAAGACGGACUUAGUGAUCCGGUGGUUCCGCAUGGAAGGGCCAUCGCUCAACGGAUAAAAGCUACCCCGGGGAUAACAGGCUUAUCUCCCCCAAGAGUUCACAUCGACGGGGAGGUUUGGCACCUCGAUGUCGGCUCAUCGCAUCCUGGGGCUGUAGUCGGUCCCAAGGGUUGGGCUGUUCGCCCAUUAAAGCGGUACGCGAGCUGGGUUCAGAACGUCGUGAGACAGUUCGGUCCCUAUCCGUCGUGGGCGUAGGAAAUUUGAGAGGAGCUGUCCUUAGUACGAGAGGACCGGGAUGGACAUACCUCUGGUGUACCAGUUGUCGUGCCAACGGCAUAGCUGGGUAGCUAUGUGUGGACGGGAUAAGUGCUGAAAGCAUCUAAGCAUGAAGCCCCCCUCAAGAUGAGAUUUCCCAACUUCGGUUAUAAGAUCCCUCAAAGAUGAUGAGGUUAAUAGGUUCGAGGUGGAAGCAUGGUGACAUGUGGAGCUGACGAAUACUAAUCGAUCGAAGACUUAAUCAA
rnacentral:rRNA from 1 species